UUCAGUUUGGCCACUGCUGCUUUCACACGUUGUUCAGCAUUGCGAAAUUACUUUUCACCAUUUGGGUCAGGAGAAAUUAACCUGAAUGAUAAACUUGGUUGGCAACUUGAUUGUAUUAACCCUCUUUGUGAUCAAUCUGGCUAAGGGAAAUAUUUCGUUAAUGGUCCAUGAUCUUAGGGCUCUCUUCAAACUUUGUAGCUCGUCCUUUGUUCAACAACAUACUCUUUCUGUUGAAUCACCAACUUUUUUAUGCCUUCUUUUUUAGCUCAACGAUGUCGUUCCUCCUUCAGUUUUGCCACUACUGCUCAAACCCGCUGCUUAGCAUUAUGAACUUGUUUCUCGCAGUUUAGAUGAGGAGAAAUUAACUUAAAUGACAACUCGAUUGUCUUAAUCCCCUUCUUGAUCAAUUUGGCUAAGUGAAUCUUUCACUAAUAGUCCAUGAUCUCGGGCAUCUCUCCAAGCGAACAACGUUGCCCCAAGUGUCCCUAGCAUGAAGCAUUUCAGUAAAGGUCUCUUCCUCAGAAGAUUUGCAAUGUGGUAAGAGAUGCAGGUGUUGAUGACCCUCUCAUAGGAUACCCAAAUUAUUUUUCUUUUCUUUUUUUUUCUUUUUUUCUUUUUUCUUUUUUUUUUCUUUUUGAUCUUUUUCUUUCCCCUUUUUUUUUUGUUUUUUUUUUAACACUGGAUACCCAUGAGGGGACAUCAAGAUAACUCCUGCAAUGGUGUAUGAUACACGAUCUUUGCUACCAAGAAAACAGGCCAUUUAAACUUUUCCUCUUCUGAGCUUGCACNNAACUGAGCUCAUUCAUUUACCCUUUUCAUCUUUGGUUUACAUUGCAGUAGUUCACUUAGGGGACAUAUGGCAUUCAAAGUACCCCUACUCAUGCGAAAGAUGAACCACAUAGGGAACACUGGUAAACAACAUAGCAUCUUCCCGACCUUUAGCCCAUGACACUGAUUAAGAGUCCUAUAAAUUUCAGUUAGGACAACCAAGACUGGACUCUCAAAGCAAAUUUUUCAUCCUGUAAAUGCACUCAUUGCGGCAUAGUCAACAAAAUCCCUUGUACUAUGAAAAAGCAUGACACCAUAGUCGAUAAAAGCUAGUACACUCACGUGAUUCCCACUUUUCCUCCUCGGCCAAUCAAUGCAAGAAUCAUCAUAGGUAUCCUUGAGGAAGGUCCUAUGUUGUACCUUUGAGUACGAAUUCACUCUCCAACUUCAUAGGGGGAACUUUCAUUAUCCCUGCUAGCUGCAAACCAGGUAUAUACUGCCCAAGGCGGUAUGAAGUGUUUCCCUUGAGGAAUACAUCUAAGGUCUCCUCAAAUUCUUCUAUUGUUGGCAUCAACUAGAAAUUGGUCAUAGUGUUGGGCUAAAACAAUAAUUGUUGUUGUCUGAACCUCCAACUCUGACAGGACCAACAAAUUCCCACUCAUUCCCGAAUGCAUUUUUCAAGGUCAUCUUUUUCAUAUCCCUCAAGAGACUGAUAUUGCCCCCCUUGACUUCGAUGCGUAUGCUUUUCUUCAAAAAGUUUAAACUUGAAUGCCCCUUGACUCAAAAUCCCAUGUUAAUUUCCAUUUUUACCGUCAUCACGACUUUAUAAUUUCUUGACUAGAACUCACAAAAUUUUGACAAGACCAUANAAACAUGAGCAACAAAGAAAGAAAGAAAAAACAAUGUAGUGAUAUGUACAAGAUGCUUGAUUUUAUUAAGCAAAAGUGAGGGUUAUAAGGAUACACACAUCUCCCUUUGUGCCCUAGAGAAGGUUCAAUGCUUUGGAUUCAAGGACAAGUAUAUGCAAUCUCACCAGGAUAGUCCCCUGAACCUAAAGGUCAAUGGUCACUAGAGCUAUGGCCCCCUCCACAGUAUCUCCACAACAGUCGAGUAAUCAACUAGGUGUGGAAACACACAUGAAGAGAACAGACUCUAGCUAGAGUUCUCACGAUAGUCAAACAGGAAGUACAUCCCAGAGUGACACCGCUACACAACUCCUCUAAUUCUAAGCUGCGCUCAGACCCGGGUAUAGGGCCCCACUCAAUAGAUGCAUAAUAUGUGUGUGUGUGAAGGGAGAAUGCAAUG
rnacentral:lncRNA from 1 species